GUUAAUCUUCUCCAGGAUCUUGACUUCUAUAUUUUGGCCCAGUUUUAUGGCAGAUCCAAUGCUCACCUUGCAACUAGGCCAUUUGACAUUACAUUCAUAGCAGCCAAGAACUAGCUACGCUAUCUGAUAUUCAUAGAGCUUGGUUCUCAUACCGAAGAGCAAAGGUCUUUAAUUAACUUUAUUUUAUUAAUUUAAUUAUUCUAUGGCCUAAGAUAAUUAUUAAGUAAAUAUCUGGAAAGUUAUUAAAUGGUUAUCUGAAGAUGAGAGGUUAAUAACAGCUCCAAACAAUUUUAAGGAGUGGACAGGUAACUACAAAAUAUGAGAAGGUAUCUUCCAGUCUUCCGGAUACUUGCAAGGAGAGCUAUGUAGUCUUUUAUCUUUAUUUUUAU
rnacentral:misc_RNA from 1 species